CAGACAUUGGAAGUAUCCAAUGAAGACCCUAGCAGUAUGGAGUAUAUGGAUACAGACGUUGCCAGCAAUCAGGAGGUGAUCCAGAAGACUCGUGGGAAUCUAUUUGAAGCUGCAUCAUUGAAGACAGUCCAGCAGAAGUUGGAGUUUUAAAGGAUAAAGUUCUUCAGGACCUAUAGCAGUUUACAUUAUGCAAAACCAUGUUGCUGGGACUGAUAUAUGGACUGAACUUGAGCAACCCUCCUGAACUCAGGUACACAUUUGGAAUACUGAAGAAGUUAUUUUUGGAGCCAGUUCCUGUUCCUGGAAUAAGGUUUGAUUGGUUACCCAUGAAUGCCAAUUAGAAAAUGAGUAGUUUGAUAUUUCUGCUAUUUUGUGUAAUUUUGUAAUGUGGUUUAAACCGUAUUUAACUGCGUGUAAUUAUUUAUUGUUUGUUUAACAAAUACACUUUGAUCAUUUGU